rnacentral:rRNA from 1 species
CUACGGGUUGCUGCAGUCGAGAAUCAUUCGCAAUGCGCGAAAGCGUGACGAUGCGACGCUGCGUGGAGGAUGAAGGCCCUCGGGUCGUAAACUCCUGUCAGGAGGGAAAAGCCGGCACUUGGUCAAUACCCUUGUGCCCCGUUGGUACCUCCAGAGGAAGCCACGGCUAACUCUGUGCCAGCAGCCGCGGUAAUACAGAGGUGGCGAGCGUUGUUCGGAUUUACUGGGCGUAAAGGGUGCGUAGGCGGCGUGCAAAGCUGGAUGUGAAAUCCCGGGGCUCAACCCCGGAACUGCAUCCGGAACUGGCAUGCUAGAGAGCGGGAGGGGAGAGCAGAAUUCUAGGCGUAGCGGUGAAAUGCGUUGAUAUCUAGAAGAAUACCGGUGGCGAAGGCGGCUCUCUGGAAUGGUUCUGACGCUGAGGCACGAAAGCGUGGGGAGCAAACAGGAUUAGAUACCCGGGUAGUC